AAAGUCGUAACAAGGUUUCCGUAGGUGAACCUGCGGAAGGAUCAUUACCGAAUCUCCUGCACCUCGCUGUGGUGGAGCCUGUCAUACGUCGUCAGUAAUGGCGAUAUCAUACCAAAACAUAACAAAGACUGUGGGGAUGGGGACCCCCUUGUGGUAGACCCAUUGCCUCCGCCUGGAUUUUGAUGAACUCAAUCGAGGGGUCCUUGCAAGAUUGAUGGGAAUCAUCUUCCGGGAUGUUGGUCUCCUAUGUAUUUUUUCACCACACAAAACCUGUCAUCGUAUGGCGUUGUGCUUGAACAUAUAUAAUAUAACUUUCAGCAACGGAUCUCUUGGCUCUC
rnacentral:misc_RNA from 1 species